rnacentral:rRNA from 1 species
UACGAAGGGGGCUAGCGUUGUUCGGAAUUACUGGGCGUAAAGCGCGCGUAGGCGGUUUUGCAAGCCAGAGGUGAAAUGCCUGAGCUCAACUCAGGAAUGGCCUUUGGGACUGCGAGGCUUUGAGGACUGGAGAGGUGAGUGGAAUUCCCAGUGUAGAGGUGAAAUUCGUAGAUAUUGGGAAGAACACCGGUGGCGAAGGCGGCUCACUGGCCAGUUUUCUGACGCUGUAGCGCGAAAGCGUGGGGAUCAAACAGG